GGCAGGGUCUCGGUAUAUAGUCCAUGCUGGCCUUGAACUCAUGGGCCAUCCUUUUGCCUCAGCUUCCUGAAUGCUGGGAUUACAGGGUCUCACUAUGCAGUUCAGGCUGGCCUUGAGCUCACUGUGUAGCCCAGGCUGGCCUCAAACUUGCAAUGAUCAUCUUGCCUCAGCCUCCCGAGUGCUGGCAUUACAGGAGUUGGUUACUUUGUCCCAGCAGGGAGAGAAAAGUAACCAAGACAUCUCCACUGAUUCACCUUUUCAAUCAGGCCUCAUCUCCUAACAGUACCUUCGGCUACGAGCUCACUGAUGCUUUACUCCAUAGAUGAGUGAGGAUAACACUACAUGACCCAAAAGCACUGUGAAAGCCCCAACUCUGAACAGUGAGACUUUUGGGGCAAGGUUAGGUUUAAACCAUUGUGGACAUUCAUUCUCAUCUAGUCCUGGGUGUAGGCAAAGCUAGUGGAAAGCCAUUGUUCUUUCAGAACACCAGAUCUGAGCCCAGGUAGGCUGCUUCUGUGUGAGCAGUGGAGUAUGAGUGCCAGGUUUGUGAUCCAGGCAGAUGAAUUAUUUUGUAAGUGUGGUUAAUUGAGUCAUAAAUCACAGUCUCGUACCCCACAUGACCCCUUUGUGUUUCUUCUAUCAAAACAAAGCUCUCCAUUAAAAUUGAAGGUCAGUUAAACAAU